rnacentral:rRNA from 1 species
UACGGAGGGUACGAGCGUUGUCCGGAAUCACUGGGCGUAAAGGGCGCGUAGGCGGCCUGAUAAGUAGGGGGGGAAAUCCUGAGGCCUAACCUCAGGGCUGCCUUCUAAACUGUCAGGCUCGAGCACAGUAGAGGCAGGUGGAAUUCCCGGUGUAGCGGUGGAAUGCGUAGAGAUCGGGAAGAACAUCAGUGGCGAAGGCGGCCUGCUGGGCUGUUGCUGACGCUGAGGCGCGACAGCGUGGGGAGCAAACAGG